rnacentral:rRNA from 1 species
GAUGAACGCUAGCGGCAGGCCUAAUACAUGCAAGUCGAACGGUGUAGCAAUACACAGUGGCGCACGGGUGCGUAACACGUAUGCAACCUACCUUACAUUGGGGGAUAGCCUUUCGAAAGGGAGAUUAAUACCGCAUAAGACAGUAACUAGGCAUCUAGUAGCUGUUAAAGAUUUAUCGAUGUAAGCUGGGCAUGCGUCCAAUUAGUUAGUUGGCGAGGUAAUGGCUCACCAAGACGAUGAUUGGUAGGGGAACUGAGAGGUCAAUCCCCCACACGGGCACUGGGAGACGGGCCAGACUCCUACGGGAGGCGGCAGUAGGGAAGAUUGGGCAAUGGGCGCAAGCCUGACCCAGCCAUGCCGCGUGCAGGAAGAAGGCGUUAUGCGUUGUAAACUGCUUUUAUACAGGAAGAAACGACCCUUGCGAGGGGCAUUGACGGUACUGUAUGAAUAAGCACCGGCUAACUCCGUGCCAGCCGCCGCGGUAAGAC